CAGCACGCUGCCGUUUUGCAUCUCACAAAUGCUGAAUCUGUUCUUUCAUUUCCAUUUUCACUUAAACUAAAAAAAAACGAUGGAACCCUAACUCCUUCCAAAUUAUGAACCCUAAAACUGUGCACCCUAAUUUUCAUCGAUGAACCCUAAAUCUGCACAACAUUCGAACCCUUUCAAAUUCUUCGACUGUAAAUCAUUGAAUCAUCAAGCUUCGAGUCCGUUGGUGGAAGUGGAUCGUUUUGAAAAGGUGGGCGUGGAUCGCUCUGAAAAGAAUGGAAGUUUCUGUAUAUAUUAAUCAUGGUGGCGCUAUUACAGUGACGAAGGGGGAGACUUUUUAUUUGGGUGGCGUGUUUGUGAUUCGUCACAACUUGGAUCCUGCGAAAGUGGGAUACAACGACUUGACUGGAUUUUUGGAGGAGAUAGGCUACCGGGAGUAUGUAUUGUAUUAUCGAGACUACGGAGCUUGUGGGUUACAGGAGUUUAAUUGUCAAGAGCAUGCCGUGGACUUAAUGACAUCCAAGCAAGCAAAGGAACUUGGUAUGGUGCAACUGUAUGUUGUAGGGAAAUUGGCAAAGAAUGCGGCUACCUCCGGGAAUGCUAAGGCUGCAACAUCUACAAAUGCCACUACCGGGACAUCGAAUAAACGAAAAAAUAUGACUGUCGGGACUCCAAAGCCAUAAAUCUGACUGUGGGGACUCCAAAGUGUGCAAAUGAUACAACCAUGGCUGAUGUGAUUAUCCGGACUCCAAAGCGUGCAAAUAUUACAACCGAGGAUGAUGUGGUUGAUAUGACUACCGCUGCCGCUGCCGGGGCUGAUGUGAAUCCUGCUGUCGGGGCUGAUGUGGUUGAUGGGACUCUCGGGGCAGAAUAUGGUGACAUUAAAGGCUAUUUUGAAGAUGCAGAAAUUGAAGAUCCCGAUUACUUGCCGGUUCAAGAGAGUGAUACCAAUGAUGAUCUUUCGGAUGGUGAUCUUUCUGAUGAUGAAGAGUACAAAUUUGCGAGGGAGAGCAAGACUUGAUUUAAAAACUAUGUUCCUCCAGAGAAACAUGUGGAUUUCAGUAAUGCCAUGGUUUUGAGCCAAAAAGGCAAUUCAAAAAAUGAAGUGAGUAUGCUACGUCUGAUGGCGAUGUGGAUUCUGAUGUCAGUAGCGAGGAGGGAGAAAGUGCAGGCGAGCAGAGGCGUAGGAAGAAGUAGGCUGUUAUUUAUGAUCCUAAGUCAGAUCAUAAAAACUUGAAAUUCAAAGCUGGAAUGGUUUUAUAGAUUCAAAAGAGUGUGCAGCUGCUAUUACAAAAUGGGCCAUUUUGAACGGGUACAAUUUGAGGAACAUAAGAACGAUUCAAAAGCAAGUUGAAAGGCAUUGCGAUGAUAAUUUCACUUGGAGGCUGUUUGCAAGGUUUGAUCGAAAGACACAUUCCUUUACUAUCAAAAGGGUUAAUAUUGGGCACACGUGCAACAGGAAGAUUAAGAAUAGACAAGCCUCAUAUGGCUGGAUUGCGACUGAAUACUUGGGACAAAAUUUGGAGGAAUCCAAACUUGACGGCUGUAGUGUUGAUUGACGAUGUAAUGGACAAGUAUUAUGUGCAAAUUACAAACUCUAAGGCAUACAGAGCCAACGGACAUGCAUUACAAUUGCUUAGAGGGUUUGUGGUUGACCACUAUGCGAGGUUGCAGUCCUAUAUAAUAGAGUUGAAGCGAGUCGAUCCGGAUGGCAGGUUUGAGUUUAUACUUCACGAUGACACUACAUUCAAGGGGUUUUAUGUGGGCUUUAGUGGCUUGAGGAAAGGGUUUAUGAAGGGAUGUAGGCCUAUAAUAGGGUUUGAUGGCUGCUUCCUAAACACGUUUCUUGGGGGAGCAUUGCUAUCUGCUAUUGCUAAGGACGAAAACAAUCAGAUGUUCCCUAUAUGUUGGGCGGUUAUGGAGUCUGAGAACGAAGAAUAUUGGACGUAGUUUCUACAAAUUUUGUUUGAAGAGUUGGGUAUCAUAGACGACAAUGGGUGGAGCUUCAUUAACAAAACGGAUUGCCUAAUGACAUAAGCAAGCUUGCUCCACACGGAGAACAUCGAAAUUGUGCAAGGCAUAUCUAUUGCAACUGAAAGAAAGAUUUCAAGGGUCAGGAGUGGAAGAAAUUUUUUUUGAAGGUGGCCCGAAGUACUUAUCAAGUCGCACAUGACAAAGGGUUGGCUGAAAUGAAAGAAGAAAAUAAGGUAGAUUAUAAUGACUUCAUGCGACGAGGACGACAUAAAUUUUGCAAAGUGUUCCUGAGGGAAUGGCCGAAGUCUGAUAUAAUCGAUAAAAUUGUAGCUGAAAAUUUCAAUGGCUACAUUGUUAAGGCAAGAGCGAAACAUGUCAUCGAUAUGCUCGAGGAAAUUCGAUGUUCUUUAAUGGAGAGAAUGCACAACAAGUUACCCA